CAGGUUCCCCCUAGCCGGGGAUGAAAUGGGAAUCCGGAACCGAUCCGGAGCUGCCCCCGCAACUGUGACCGGUGAGCCGAUCCCCGCGCGCGCCACUGGACCUUCGGGUCUGGGAAGGCCGGGAUCAGGCGUCGACCCGGGAGCCAGGAGACCUGCCUGUCC
rnacentral:ncRNA from 1 species